CCUACGGGAGGCAGCAGUAGGGAAUAUUGCUCAAUGGGGGAAACCCUGAAGCAGCAACGCCGCGUGGAGGAUGAAGGUUCUCGGAUUGUUAACCCCUUUUGUUAGAGAAGAUAAUGACGGUAUCUAACGAAUAAGCACCGGCUAACUCCGUGCCAGCAGCCGCGGUAAUACGGAGGGUGCCAGCGUUACUCGGAAUCACUGGGCGUAAAGAGCGCGUAGGCGGGUUAGCAAGUCAGAUGUGAAAUCCUAUGGCUUAACCAUAGAACUGCAUUUGAAACUGUUAUUCUAGAGUAUGGGAGAGGUAGGUGGAAUUCGUGGUGUAGGGGUAAAAUCCGUAGAGAGCAAGAGGAAUACUCAUUGCGAAGGCGACCUGCUAGAACAUAACUGACGCUGAUGCGCGAAAGCGUGGGGAGCAAACAGGAUUAGAUACCCGAGUAGUC
rnacentral:rRNA from 1 species